UACAGGAGGGGGCGAGCGUUAUUCGGAAUUAUUGGGGCGUAAAGGGCGCGUAGGCGGCCUUUCAAGUGACGGGUGAAAUCCCUCGGCUUAACCGAGGAACUGCCUGUCAGACUGGAAGGCUUGAGACCGGGAGGAGGUGAGUGGAAUUCCCAGUGUAGCGGUGAAAUGCGUAGAUAUUGGGAGGAACACCAGUGGCGAAGGCGGCUCACUGGACCGGUACUGACGCUGAGGCGCGAAAAGCGUGGGGAGCAAACAGGAUUAGAAACCC
rnacentral:rRNA from 1 species